rnacentral:rRNA from 1 species
GACGAACGCUGGCGGCGUGCUUAACACAUGCAAGUCGAACGGAAAGGCCCUGCUUUUGUGGGGUGCUCGAGUGGCGAACGGGUGAGUAACACGUGAGUAACCUGCCCUUGACUUUGGGAUAGCUUCAGGAAACUGGGGCUAAUACCGGAUAGGAGCUCCUGCUGCAUGGUGGGGGUUGGAAAGUUUCGGCGGUUGGGGAUGGACUCGCGGCUUAUCAGCUUGUUGGUGGGGUAGUGGCUUACCAAGGCUUUGACGGGUAGCCGGCCUGAGAGGGUGACCGGCCACAUUGGGACUGAGAUACGGCCCAGACUCCUACGGGAGGCAGCAGUGGGGAAUAUUGCACAAUGGGCGGAAGCCUGAUGCAGCAACGCCGCGUGCGGGAUGACGGCCUUCGGGUUGUAAACCGCUUUCGCCUGUGACGAAGCGUGAGUGACGGUAAUGGGUAAAGAAGCACCGGCUAACUACGUGCCAGCAGCCGCGGUGAUACGUAGGGUGCGAGCGUUGUCCGGAUUUAUUGGGCGUAAAGGGCUCGUAGGUGGUUGAUCGCGUCGGAAGUGUAAUCUUGGGGCUUAACCCUGAGCGUGCUUUCGAUACGGGUUGACUUGAGGAAGGUAGGGGAGAAUGGAAUUCCUGGUGGAGCGGUGGAAUGCGCAGAUAUCAGGAGGAACACCAGUGGCGAAGGCGGUUCUCUGGGCCUUUCCUGACGCUGAGGAGCGAAAGCGUGGGGAGCGAACAGGCUUAGAUACCCUGGUAGUCCACGCUGUAAACGGUGGGUACUAGGUGUGGGGUCCAUUCCACGGGUUCCGUGCCGUAGCUAACGCUUUAAGUACCCCGCCUGGGGAGUACGGCCGCAAGGCUAAAACUCAAAGGAAUUGACGGGGCCCCGCACAAGCGGCGGAGCAUGCGGAUUAAUUCGAUGCAACGCGUAGAACCUUACCUGGGUUUGACAUGGAUCGGGAGUGCUCAGAGAUGGGUGUGCCUCUUUUGGGGUCGGUUCACAGGUGGUGCAUGCCUGUCGUCAGCUCGUGUCGUGAGAUGUUGGGUUAAGUCCCGCAACGAGCGCAACCCUUGUUCACUGUUGCCAGCACGUUAUGGUGGGGACUCAGUGGAGACCGCCGGGGUCAACUCGGAGGAAGGUGGGGAUGACGUCAAGUCAUCAUGCCCCUUAUGUCCAGGGCUUCACGCAUGCUACAAUGGCUGGUACAGAGAGUGGCGAGCCUGUGAGGGUGAGCGAAUCUCGGAAAGCCGGUCUCAGUUCGGAUUGGGGUCUGCAACUCGACCUCAUGAAGUCGGAGUCGCUAGUAAUCGCAGAUCAGCAACGCUGCGGUGAAUACGUUCCCGGG